UACAGAGGGUGCAAGCGUUGUUCGGAAUUAUUGGGCGUAAAGCGCGUGUAGGCGGUUUUGCAAGUCGGGUGUGAAAGCCCUCAGCUCAACUGAGGAAGUGCGCCCGAAACUGCAGAGCUUGAGUACCGGAGAGGAUGGCGGAAUUCCCCAAGUAGAGGUGAAAUUCGUAGAUAUCAGGAGGAACACCAGUGGCGAAGGCGGCUCACUGGACCGGUACUGACGCUGAUGCGCGAAAGCGUGGGGAGCAAACGGG
rnacentral:rRNA from 1 species